CCGCAAACUGCAUAUAUUUGUUUGGGUCUGAUACGACAGGCCACAGAAUGCCAUGCAAACAAACAUGCAAAAUGAAUGACAGGGAGAGUAGGGGCCCAUGCACCUUUGACACAACUUUAUGGUUCAGAAAGAGGAGGAAAAGGAGGCGGUGAAUUACCCUGUCAGCCAGUUUUGAACAUUGCCAUAAUGCAGAACAAAUAGCCAAGUUAUUCAAAUGUGGUUGUGUGACGGUGUUCACCCAGAAGACAAAGCUCAAAGCUCCUGCAACAGCAAACUAUAUGAUCAUUGCAGUUAGCUGAGUCCAUUUGAUGGUACGUCCUAGAUGAAGAUGUUACUACCCUCGCCAAACAAUGCGCUACAAGAGUAUAGAACUAACACAAGUUGUGGCAAACAGAUGAAAAUCAGAAUGAGCAUUCUGUAGAUCUCCUGAAGGUUGCAAACUCCCCUGCAAUAACGCACUCAGCUUGUAAUGGAGAAAAUACCCUUCAAAGGAACAUAGAGGGGUUACUCUCACACCCAGGUGUUUUAAUGAAGCACAGGUUAGAUUUACACAUAGGCCUGCAUGUUUAACCCAGAGGCUCCAGGAAAGAAGCAGGGUGCACUGUCUUUCCCCCUUGCCUUUAAAUCUGGAUAAACCAAUCAUUGGUCUUCAAUAAAGGCUUGGUAAAACAAGGGUUUAGUGUUUUGGGUACCAUGAAAUUGCAUGUCCAUAUAUGAUACACAGGAGAGAGAGUAGCCGCCAUUAUCAUGCCAUCCAAGACUUGGGCCAACCUUCACUCUUUGUAUAGAUGAUAUCCAACAUCAUUGCAUUAAGAAUUGCUGGAAUAUUGGUUUGAUGGUAAAUGAAAAAGGAGCUGGUCCUUUAUUUAGAUCUGCUAUGUAAACAUUCUUUGUUAAGAGGAUUUGUUA
rnacentral:lncRNA from 1 species